rnacentral:tRNA from 1 species
GCGAGAGUGGCGGAAUUGGCAGACGCGCCGGCCUUAGGAGCCGGUGUCCUUAGGACGUGGGGGUUCGAGUCCCCCCUCUCGCA